rnacentral:rRNA from 1 species
UACGGAGGGUGCAAGCGUUAUCCGGAUUCACUGGGUUUAAAGGGUGCGUAGGUGGGUAGUUAAGUCAGUGGUGAAAUCUCCGGGCUCAACCCGGGAAACUGCCAUUGAUACUAUCUGUCUUGAAUAUCGUGGAGGUAAGCGGAAUAUGUCAUGUAGCGGUGAAAUGCUUAGAUAUGACAUAGAACACCGAUAGCGAAGGCAGCUUGCUACACAAUUAUUGACACUGAGGCUCGAAAGCGUGGGGAUCAAACAGG